rnacentral:rRNA from 1 species
UAGGGAAUCUUCCGCAAUGGACGCAAGUCUGACGGAGCAACGCCGCGUGAGUGAAGAAGGAUUUCGGUUCGUAAAACUCUGUUGUUAGAGAAGAACAGCGUAUAGAGUAACUGUUAUGCGUGUGACGGUAUCUAACCCGAAAGCCACGGCUAACUACGUGCCAGCAGCCGCGGUAAUACGUAGGUGGCAAGCGUUGUCCGGAUUUAUUGGGCGUAAAGCGAGCGCAGGCGGUCAAUUAAGUCUGAUGUGAAAGCCCCCGGCUCAACCGGGGAGGGUCAAUUGAAACUGGUUGACUUGAGUGCAGAAGAGGGGAGUGGAAUUCCAUGUGUAGCGGUGAAAUGCGUAGAUAUAUGGAGGAACACCAAUGGCGAAGGCGACUGUCUGGUCUGUAACUGACGCUGAGGCUCGAAAGCGUGGGUAGCAAACAGG